rnacentral:rRNA from 1 species
AUUGAACGCUGGCGGCAGGCCUAACACAUGCAAGUCGAGCGAGCGGCGGACGGGUGAGUAAUGUCUGGGAAACUGCCUGAUGGAGGGGGAUAACUACUGGAAACGGUAGCUAAUACCGCAUACCAUCAGAUGUGCCCAGAUGGGAUUAGCUAGUAGGUGGGGUAACGGCUCACCUAGGCGACGAUCCCUAGCUGGUCUGAGAGGAUGACCAGACAAACUGGAACGGAGAAACGGUCCAGACUGCUACGGGAGGCAGAAGGGGUGAAGAGGGCACAAUGGGCGCAAGCCUGAUGAAGCCAUGCCGCGGGUGUGAAGAAGGACGGCGGGUUGUAAAGCACUGUCAGCGGGGAGGCGUGACCAGCAGAAGAAGCACCGGCUAACUCCGGGCCAGCAGAAGCGGUAAUAC